CCUGACGCAGCAACGCCGCGUGCGGGAUGAAGGCUCUCGGGUCGUAAACCGCUUUCAGCAGGGAUGAAACUGACAGUACCUGCAGAAGAAGCCCCGGCUAAAUACGUGCCAGCAGCCGCGGUAAUACGUAUGGGGCAAGCGUUAUCCGGAUUCAUUGGGCGUAAAGAGCGCGUAGGCGGCUUGUUAAGUCAGAUGUGAAAACUGGGGGCUCAACCCGCAGCGUGCAUCUGAAACUGGCAGGCUUGAGUCUGGUAGAGGAAAGUGGAAUUCCCAGUGUAGCGGUGAAAUGCGCAGAUAUUGGGAGGAACACCAGUGGCGAAGGCGGCUUUCUGGGCCACGACUGACGCUGAGGCGCGAAAGCUAGGGGAGCAAACAGGAUUAGAUACCCUGGUAGUCCUAGCCGUAAACGAUGGGCACUAGGUGUGGGGGGUCAUCAACUCCCUCCGUGCCGCAGCUAACGCAUUAAGUGCCCCGCCUGGGGAGUACGACCGCAAGGUUA
rnacentral:rRNA from 1 species